UACGUAGGCAGCAAGCGUUGUUCGGAGUUACUGGGCGUAAAGGGUGCGUAGGCGGCUUUUUAAGUUUGGUGUGAAAUCUCCCGGCUCAACUGGGAGGGUGCGCCGAAUACUGAGAGGCUAGAGUGUGGGAGAGGAAAGUGGAAUUCCUGGUGUAGCGGUGAAAUGCGUAGAUAGUUGGGUGGGAACACCCGGUGGCGAAAGCGGCCCCCUGGCCCGG
rnacentral:rRNA from 1 species